AAUGGUGUUGGUAGUGAGGAUAUAGAUGUUUGGGUAGACCACAAACAGAAUUUGUUUACGUGAACCUGGAUCACCACCAGUCACUUGAAACUGAAAAAUGUUAUUUCCCUUUGAUUACUUAAUGAAGACAGAAUGUCUGGACCAGUAAUGACCUCCUAAGAUACUGACACUCUGUGAGGUACUAUCUGAGGCAAACAGGACUUCUUGGACAUCUCUUUGACCACAAUAUGGCACCAUACCAGGAAUCUGAGGAAGCAGAGGUUCCACAUGGUUUGCUGAAAAUUCAAGGGGAAAACAACAUCUGAACUGAAAAUGCUUAACUCAGAGCUCUCCUCAAAUAGUAAAUACUAUUUCAGAAACGGUUGGUAAGCUUUGGCAAGACGCUGCCCUCAGAAAGAACCAUGGCAGCUGAGAAAUAGCAAGUACCAGGAAAAAGGUUGCCCAGGGUCGAAUUCUUCAAUAUGCUCCAAACCAGAAGUACACAAUCUCGUACCAGUCACUGAAAAUGAAUUCUACAAGCUCAGCUUUCCCUGAUGAUACAGUUUGGAUCUGCUUUCACUUCAACUGGAUUCCAUCUUUGAGGCCAGAGGUACUGUGUUAAGAUAUAAGUAAACUGACAGAAGACAAGAAGUCCUUCAACAAGUGUUCUUUAUUACAGUAAAAACCAUCCCAGCCAACCCCACCCUAAAAUCACACAUUCUUAUGUCAAAGAGAACUAACAUUAACAGGAACUUGAAAGGAGUGAAAAUCUUCACUAAGUUAAAUCACAUGUUUCCUGACUCAUUUAAGUCCCCUCAUGCAAAUUUUUGGUUGUCACAGUAUUAUUGAUGGACCAACAGAGCUUCAGCUUCCUCUUCAGUGGUCUUUAACAGAUUUCCAAGCUCCAUAGUGACACUGUUAAGGGAUUCAGGGGAAACAGCACACACCUGCAUUUUUUUCCCCUGAAUCACAAGUACCUAUAAUACUAUCACUUUUAUUACUAGAGCGGUGUCUAG
rnacentral:lncRNA from 1 species